UCAGAAUAACUUAAAAAUUAACAAUGAUAAAUACAAAGAACAUGCAAAUCAUAGGCGCGGAAAAUGGACAUUGAAGUCGGAGAAGAUGUCAUGGUACAUCUGAGGAAAGAACGAUUUCCGGCAGGCAGCUACUCGAAGUUAAAAAACAGGAAUAUCGGACCUUGCCAGAUUCUGCAGAAGAUUAACGAGAACGCCUAUGUUGUCGACGUACCGGGGGAGUUGAAAAUGUCUAACUCAUUCAACGUAUCCGACUUACGGAAGUACUACCCACCGGAAAAUGAAGCGCAAUCAAGUCAUUCGAGGACAAAUGCGGCUGAAGAGGGAUAGCUUGAUGCAGGGGCCACGUCAUCUGAUGAAGAGGAGGUAGUUAGUUCGGCCAAACGAACUAACAACCCGGAGGGACUAUAAAGCAGUAAUACGUCCAAGGAAGAGGGGAGACUAAUUUUCCCAUUACAUCAGGUACCUUCGUUUCCCCUUUUCUUCUUCCUUUCUCCUACUAUUGAUUCCGUUCUCACCCUCCUUCUGGUGGAUUCCAAUUUCCUGCUGACCGGUGGAUCCCGUCGACGUCAUCUUCUUUAUCGCAACCUCUCUCUGUCUCGAUGUUGCUUAUAUUUUAAACAAACUUGUAAUCGAACCGAUUUUCAGUUAUUGUAACUCUUGUAAAACUUUGAGUAUUUUUUCGAAUAAAUCGAUCAGCCCCAUUUCAUUCCCGAUUUCACGAUUCCUGUCGAGUGCGUGUCACUGACUGUCAUCAAUAUGAUAUUAAAAAAUUCAUAAGAUGUUAACAAGAUGCAGAAAUAUUCUGAAGAAAAAUUGAAAUGAGAUGAUAUAACAUGCAAAAUAGUGUAUAACUCAUAAACAUAUGAGUAAAAUUGGGCAUAGUUGGGAAAAUAUCAAAUUUGCUAAAUCAUUAUUUCAGAAUUCACUACUGUUAUAAACAAUUGAUUAAAAAUCUAGAAAGGAAAAAAAUGUACGAAUCUGUAUUUCUAAAUUCAUCAAUCAACCUGUAUUAAACUUAUAUUUGUUAAACUGUAUGAAUCUGAAUUCUAUCUGAAUUAAAUCUAUUUGUAUAAAACUGUAUUAAACCUAUAUAUCAAUCUGAAUUCUUAUAUUUAGGGACGGCUUACUAAAUUUUCAAGGGUGGCGACGGUUCACCGGAGAGCCGUCGCCAACCAUUAACAAAAAAUCCUCAAGCCAUCCCUAAUCCGUCGAGAGCAUCGUAGAAUUUUCAUAAAAUCCUUCUUCAGAUUUAGAGACGGCCAGAAUCCGU
rnacentral:lncRNA from 1 species